GAAGGGUGCAAGCGUUACUCGGAAUUACUGGGCGUAAAGCGUGCGUAGGUGGUUCGUUAAGUCUGAUGUGAAAGCCCUGGGCUCAACCUGGGAAUGGCAUUGGAUACUGGCGACCUAGAGUGCGGUAGAGGGGUGUGGAAUUCCCGGUGUAGCAGUGAAAUGCGUAGAUAUCGGGAGGAACAUCUGUGGCGAAGGCGACACCCUGGACCAGCACUGACACUGAGGCACGAAAGCGUGGGGAGCAAACAGGAUUAGAUACCCUGGUAGUCCACGCCCUAAACGAUGCGAACUGGAAGUUGGGGGCAACUUGGCCCUCAGUUUCGAAGCUAACGCGUUAAGUUCGCCGCCUGGGAAGUACGGUCGCAAGACUGAA
rnacentral:rRNA from 1 species